rnacentral:lncRNA from 10 species
GGAGAGUUAGAAGCAAGCCACGUGGGUGACUUCUUUUCAAAGUUCUCUGCCUCAGAGGAGGAAGCCCCAUGGGUGGAGGCCAGGCCCGAGGCCAUCCUGCUCUGGGCCAGAGCGUGCCUGUGUCUGAUGAGCGAGGACAUGCCUCGUCUGGCUGAGCCUUCCAUUUCACACCGGCAGCUCGAACCCCCCAUCACGGCUUCCUUUUGGGCUCCCCUCCUCAGGGGACCGAGCUUGAAAUGUGCUUGCCCUUCAUCCCUAAGGCCUGCGUCCCUUCCUCAGAGAGGACUAAGCCCCUCUCCCAGUCUUGAUGUUCUCCGAGGCCCUUCUUAUUCACAGAACCUAUCUGGCUUAUUUAUUCGCUUGCUUGCUUCUGAUGUCUUCUCUUACUGAAAGGAAUCGAAGGGCCAAGGAAUGUGUUUUUCGUUGAUGUCAACUUGCUGCAAAGGACCACACCUGCUUCUCGACCCAGGAACGUGGGAAAGGGAAAGGCUUGGCUUGUUUUGGUGGAGAUGGAGAUGCUGGUAACAGUGGAGGAAUGCCCUCCUUCUGAUUCACAGUGGGGAGGUGCUCUGGGCCCCUGCCACUGCCCGAGGACUUCAGCUUUUGGUUGUCCUGCUGAGAGGAUGCGGCAUUUGAGCAGUAGCUUCUGGAGCCCAGAGUGAAGCCCCACCCAGGCACCCUGACAGGACCACAGGAAUGCUCCUGGCACAGCAAGCAGGACUCUUGAGAAGCUCAGCCUCCACGCUCCUUGUAGAUGUUCAGUUCAAACUCCACAGUUUGUGUGACUCACUGAAGGGCUUGGUUUGGCUCUCGCUGACGAGUCUGUCAUCGGUGCCAGCAUGCCAUUGGGCGUUUGCCAGACAGGGCCUAUCAUGUGGGCCCUACACCUAUUCACACACCUGCCAUUUGCCUUCAGAAUCCUGUUCCCAGUGGGUAAUGGGUUUAAAAGCCCAUAGCUGAGUUUAUCCACAUUGGAUCCGACCCACAUUCCAAUGCUCUUUAGACAACCGGGUUUCACCGUGUUAGCCAGGCUGGCCUCAAACUCCUGACCUCAAGUGAUCCACCCGCAUCGACCUCACAAAGUGCUUGGAUUACAGGUGUGAGCUACUGUGCCAGGCCAGAAAAAAUAAAAUAAAAUAAAAUAAA